UACAGGGGGUGCAAACGUUGCUCGGAAUUAUUGGGCGUAAAGCGCGCGUAGGCGGCUACUUAAGUCGGAUGUGAAAGCCCCUGGCUUAACUGGGGAAGUGCACCCGAAACUGAGUAGCUAGAGUACGAAAGAGGGUCGCGGAAUUCCCGGUGUAGAGGUGAAAUUCGUAGAUAUCGGGAGGAACACCAGUGGCGAAGGCGGCGAUCUGGGAAGAUACUGACGCUGAGGUGCGAAAGCGUGGGGAGCAAACAGG
rnacentral:rRNA from 1 species